rnacentral:rRNA from 1 species
CCUACGGGAGGCAGCAGUGGGGAAUCUUGGGCAAUGGCCGAAAGGCUGACCCAGCGACGCCGCGUGUGGGAUGACGCUUUUCGGAGUGUAAACCACUGUCAGGGGGGACGAAGUCUCGGGGUUCGAACAGGGCCUCGAGCUGACGGUACCUCCAGAGGAAGCGCCGGCUAACUCCGUGCCAGCAGCCGCGGUAAGACGGAGGGCGCGAGCGUUGUUCGGAAUUACUGGGCGUAAAGCGCGCGCAGGCGGGUGCGCAAGUCGGAAGUGAAAGCGCAGGGCUCAACCCUGCGACGCCUUCCGAGACUGCGUGUCUGGGGACCGGUAGAGGUGAGUGGAAUUCCCGGUGUAGCGGUGGAAUGCGUAGAUAUCGGGAAGAACACCGGAGGCGAAGGCGGCUCACUGGGCCGGAUCCGACGCUGAGGCGCGAAAGCGUGGGGAGC